AGCUCAGCUGGCUAGAGCACCUGCCUUGCACGCAGGGGGUCAACGGUUCGAAUCCGUUA
rnacentral:tRNA from 1 species